rnacentral:rRNA from 1 species
GUCCACGCCCUAAACGAUGCGCACUAGAUUCGACUGACUCUGACGUCCGUCGGGUCGAAGCAAAAGUGUUAAGUGCGCCGCCUGGGGAGUACGGCCGCAAGGCUAAAAACUCAAAAGGAAUUGACGGGGGCUCACACAAGCGGUGGAGCAUGUGGCUCAAUUCGAAGCAAACGCGAAGAACCUUACCCGGGUUUGACAUGCUGGGAUUAGCCCGUGAAAAACGGGAUGACGCGGCUUGCCGUGGAACCAGCACAGGUGCUGCAUGGCUGUCGU